rnacentral:misc_RNA from 1 species
AAACACUUUCAAAAUAUGUCACAAUUGUCACAUCUAAACCUUUUUCUAGACUUUUUUAACAAUAUUAGAUUGAUUUGUGCAUCUAUUUAGAAUAAAUCUGUCACGAAUUGCGAUAACCAGUAGAAUAUAAUUAAAAUGUAAUAGAAGUAUUAAUAACAACUUGGUAGCGAUGUCGUCGUCGAGUGAAAACCCGGCGACGUCGUGCAACGAAAACCCAAAUGUUGAAGAAGGCAGUGAUAAUACGAAUGGUAAUAAUUCUAUCGUAACAUCACAGGAGGAAAUUAAGUUAGAAAUAGAAUUGGAGAUUUUAAACUCUUCCAAAGAAGAUAUAACUGCUGCUGAUAAAGAAGUCUCAGAUGAAGGAACCAUCAAUGAUAAAAUUUCAAAUGAAAAUGCAACUAAUACUUCAGUAGAAGAAGCUCAAAAUGCCAUUACAGUCAAUGUACCUUGUAAUUCAGAUUCAGAACGAAAUAAGGAUCAAGCAAGCCAAGAAAAUGUGGUUAUUGAAAGAACAGAUCCGAUUCCUGGUUGCUCUGGCACCUGCACUGGUGAUCCUGUAAUACCACCACUAUUCCACAAUAACAAUGUUCAGCUGUUCACUGAGGACACAGGUCCUCAAAUGUACCAUCUUAAAGGUAAUUUAGUCACAGCACCAAUAAUCACAAAGAAUUUGCCUAAAGUCUUUGAAUAUUUGCCCAUUCAUGGCAAGCCACAGGAAAGUAAAAGCUUGAAGGAAUACUAUUCAAAUAAAAUUAAAGAGUUUGUUGGCUGUGGCUUGAGCGAUUAUGAGUUUAAACAAUUGGAAGAUUAUUGCAGUCCAGAGCACUUAAAAACUGGAAAAGAAAUUAUUAUGGGAACAAACGUGCCGCUCAUGGGGGUAAUGGGCAUGAUACCCAAAGACAAUCACUUGAUUGAGCGUGAUGAGCAGCCAGACCUCUGCAUCGUGAAGAAGAACAAGAUGCGGAAUGACAAGGACACCAAGGGACUGUUUGUUAAGAAGCUCAAAUACAGGAGUGUGAGGAACUUGCCAUUUACACAGGAGGUAUAUCACCUGAAGCCCGGCACUCCUACUGAAGAAAGUCCUGAUGUAGACUUGGAGCCAGGCAAAGAUAUACUGUAUCGAGUGAGGGUGUACAGGCCUUAUACCUACAACUUGGCUAGGGAUAGAUUUACCCGUACCCGUCACUCGGUGUUCUGCUCCGACAUCAUUCUGACGGGCAGACACAAGCUGUCAGACCUGCGGGACCGCUUCGUGUGCCACAAUGACUUCGACAUGCGAGUCGACGUGUCCAACAACCCUGAUAUGCUGCCUAACACUAAGGCUAAGGAAGUGUUCCCGUCAGGUUUCCUGUUCAUAAACAACGCGUUCUACGUGGACAGUCGCGAGGGCUGCAUCGACUAUAGCGCUCCUAUCCGCGAGUGGGCGCUGCGCAAGAAGAUCGGCGCCUUCCCCAAGUACGACAUGUGCGAUGUCCGGCUCGACGAACUCGUGCUCAAGCUGGGCUAUCCUGAGGUGUACGUCCACCAAGGUAACUGUGAACAUGUUUUCCUAUUCUCCGAGAUCCGUCUACUUUCUCCAAGCGACCCGCCACGAUUGUACAACUACCCGUGUUCGUCUGCCAUUGCGCAGAACCAAACCGUUUACUGCACCACUUGCGCAGAAUUCCCAGCUAAGUGGAUAGUAGUCGGGUGCGCUAGAGUACCUUUUGAUCCCGCAUUCUUCUGCGAAACUUGCUUCAGACAGUACUUAUACAAAGACGGACAGAAAAUUGGGGAGUUCAAAGCGUAUUCGUAUAGAGGGAACGCGUUGAAUGUGUUGAAGCCUCAAUGACGGGGCGCUCUGGUUGCGGAGUAUGGUUAUAAUGAGCCUCUGUGAUAGUGAAUAGACUGACAGUCUCAGUAAUCAUAAAACAAGUGAGUUGACCACAUAAGAAUACGGUAUGAGGCCCAGUAGUCCAUUUUUUAAAUAAUAUUAUUUAUUAAUUAAUUAAUUUAUUUAUUUGGAUUUCCAACAAGAAAUACACAUUACAGACAGGUUUUAGGAACAGAUAUUUACUUUUCUUGUGUCCUUAAUUAUAGGAAAUCACAGCAUGCAUUAAAUUAUAAUUAUAAUCACAUAUCCAAUCGUUAUAUAUGUAAGAUUCAUAUGAUAUAUUAUUAUUUAUAUAAGAUAAAAAUGUAUGAAAGUGUAAAUAUAAUAUUAAAUGGAAACAAGGGUACAUACUGUCCUGUGCCGCAGCAUACUACGGGUGCAUGAAAUUAAUUUAGAAAAAGGCUAGGCCGAACCUUCUUAGAAGGAAUCGAUCUUUAAAAAAGGCUGAGGGAAGAGACUAAGUAGCUGUUAACUGUUUGUUAUAAAAGUUAGCUAGGUUGUGCUACUUUUUUUCUUUGCCCUAUGUACGGGUCUGGCUUUAUACCCAAACAUGAUUGAAAAUUAAAGGUUAUAAUGAUAAAAUGAUAUGUAUUGUCUCUCUAGUAAUGUAAUAUCGGAUUUGAAUAAUGAGGUCCUUAGGACCUUUGCCAAUGUUGGCUAUUUAUAAGUUAAGUUUAAUUUAUAAUUUUCCUGUGAUGAAUAUCCGAUUUUGUAUCGAUAAAAGUAAAAUCGAGCUUUUUUAUAAAUGAAAAAAUAAAAUAAAUCUUCAAA